GACGAACGCUGGCGGCGUGCUUAACACAUGCAAGUCGAACGGAAAGGCCCUGCUUUUGUGGGGUGCUCGAGUGGCGAACGGGUGAGUAGCACGUGAGUAACCUGCCCUUGACUUUGGGAUAACUUCAGGAAACUGGGGCUAAUACCGGAUAGGAGCUCCUGCUGCAUGGUGGGGGUUGGAAAGUUUCGGCGGUUGGGGAUGGACUCGCGGCUUAUCAGCUUGUUGGUGGGGUAGUGGCUUACCAAGGCUUUGACGGGUAGCCGGCCUGAGAGGGUGACCGGCCACAUUGGGACUGAGAUACGGCCCAGACUCCUACGGGAGGCAGCAGUGGGGAAUAUUGCACAAUGGGCGGAAGCCUGAUGCAGCAACGCCGCGUGCGGGAUGACGGCCUUCGGGUUGUAAGCCGCUUUCGCCUGCGACGAAGCGUGAGUGACGGUAAUGGGUAAAGAAGCACCGGCUAACUACGUG
rnacentral:rRNA from 1 species